CCAGCAGGUUGAGGGCGCAGCCUAGGAGUCUCGACCUGCUGGAAGGUUAGUCGGCUUUGUGAUGUUUCACGAUUCGGAAGGCAAAGGGCAAAGUUUAAUCGUAGG
rnacentral:sRNA from 1 species